CACACGAGGGAAUAUUAAAAAUGGAGGUACAUAACGUUCUGUUGCGCCAAUAAUGUCCACCAUUGUAACUGGUGUCCCUCUUCCA